rnacentral:rRNA from 1 species
UUGGAGGGCAAGUCUGGUGCCAGCAGCCGCGGUAAUUCCAGCUCCAAUAGCGUAUAUUAAAGUUGUUGCAGUUAAAAAGCUCGUAGUUGAAUUUCGGGGUUCUUCCGUUGGUCAGGCUAACAAGUCUGUACUAGCGUGUAGAAUCUCUACCUUCUGGGGAACCAUCAUAUUAUUAAUUUAGCGUGGUGGGAAACCAGGACCUUUACCUUGAGAAAAUUAGAGUGUUCAAAGCAGGCUUACGUCUGAAUACAUUAGCAUGGAAUAAUAAAAUAGGACGGUGGUCCUGUUUUGUUGGUUUCUGAAUCACCGUAAUGAUUAAUAGGGAUAGUUGGGGGCAUUAGUAUUCAAUUGUCAGAGGUGAAAUUCUUGGAUUUAUUGAAGACUAACUUCUGCGAAAGCAUUUGCCAAGGAUGUUUUCAUUAAUCAAGAACGAAAGUUAGGGGAUCGAAGACGAUCAGAUACCGUCGUAGUCUUAACCAUAAACUAUGCCGACUAGGGAUCGGACGAUGUUAAAUUUUAUUGACUCGUUCGGCGCCUUACGGGAAAC